AUACGUAGGGGGCGAGCGUUGUCCGGAAUGAUUGGGCGUAAAGGGCGCGUAGGCGGCCCGGUAAGUCUGGAGUGAAAGUCCUGUUUUUAAGAUGGGAAUUGCUUUGGAUACUGUCGGGCUUGAGUGCAGGAGAGGUAAGUGGAAUUCCCAGUGUAGCGGUGAAAUGCGUAGAGAUUGGGAGGAACACCAGUGGCGAAGGCGACUUACUGGACUGUAACUGACGCUGAGGCGCGAAAGUGUGGGGAGCAAACAGGAUUAGAUCCCCUGGUAGUCCACACUGUAAACGAUGAAUGCUAGGUGUAGGGGGUAUCGACCCCUUCUGUGCCGCAGUCAACACAAUAAGCAUUCCGCCUGGGGAGUACGGCCGCAAGGUUGAAACUCAAAUGAAUUGACGGGG
rnacentral:rRNA from 1 species